UCCCAGGUUUUAAAACCACAGUCUGACCCAGGAUCCUUUCCCCAGCUUUGCGAUUCAUUUGCUGUGAAACCAAGUUGGCCUCAUUCAGGAUCAGAGCUUAACCAUCACGACACAUGGGUGAGGGGAAGAUAAAUCACUGUUCCUCCAGCAUCCAAAAAUAUAUCCAAUCCCCCAUUCUUCAUGGCCAUGUGGAAGAAAGAUCCUACUUACUGGUACACCCAUCAACAAAAAACAAACCCAAAAUGGAGAAGAGAAGAGGAUAUAUUAACCAUUACAUAUUUUAUAAACACUACAAACCCUGGCAAGUAACAUUUGUGAAAUUAGUGAAUGAAUGAAUUAAUAAAUGAA